GCUCAUUGUGAUGAAAAUACAAACAAGUGUCUUGCACAUGUGUGUGGGUUUUUAGGGGUUAGCCAAAAGGCUGUAAAAUGUAUGGCGCUCCUGUGGAUUUAUCAUUCAAAUGCCUCAGCUCAAUGACAGACGCUCUGACGGAGGAGCCAAAUCAGGGCUUGCGGCCACUGAAGCGAAAUGCAGAGAAGAAGUUCUGCAGCCGCUCGCUGCGUCUCAACAAUAACAUCAUCACAGACUUGAGUGGCUUCAAUGAUACGGUCUCAGCCUUCCUCUCAGAGCCCUCACAGCUCGCCUGGGUCGACCUGUCCUUCAACGACAUCUCACACAUAGACCCAGUCCUGGUGGAGCUGAAGGAACUGCGGGUGUUGUAUCUCCAUGGUAACAGCAUCUGUAACAUUUCAGAGGUGGAUAAGCUGGGCGCCCUGCCCUUCCUACAUACACUGACCCUGCACGGCAACACCAUGGAGAAUGAGGGGAGCAACAGGGGGUAUGUGAUUGCGGCUCUGCCUCACUUGAAGAAGUUGGACUUCAGUGCUGUUACACGGCAGGAGCGAAUCAUGGCCCAAGUCUGGCAUCGCCCUGGGAACCUUGGCAAAAACACCAGGAAGAACCAGGACAACUGACCCGUCACCACAGAAACGGAGGGAGGGGGGGGGACACAAUCGUCAUGCCAACCAACCAAAUGGUUCCAGAACAACAGACUUACAUCAGGAGGCCUUAUGACUGAAGCAUCAUGUAAAAGUACAAUAUGAAUCUACUCAUCAGAAACUCUGUCUUGUUGGGGGGGAGGAAUAGUACAUCUACAGUAGAUGUGCUUUCUGCUUAAUUAGGAUAUUCCUGACAUUUUUGCCACCUUGACCUAUAUAAUUAUUAAACUGGAACAGAGGCCACCCAGGCUAAAGGUAUAGAGUCCUCUCAAUCAAACUGUCCAAUAUGCACCUUUGUACACUGAACAAAAAUAUAACGCAACAUGCAACAAUUUCAAAGAUUUUAGUUACAGUUCAUAUAAGGACAUCAGUCAAUUUUAAUAAUUCACUGGGCCCUAAAUCUAUGGAUUUCACAUGACUGGG